UAAGUUAAUAAGGGCGCACGGUGGAUGCCUUGGCACUAGGAGCCGACGAAGGACGUGACAAACGACGAUAUGCCUUGGGUAGCUGUAAGUAAGCGAUGAUCCAGGGAUUUCCGAAUGGGGGAACCCAACAGGUAAUACCUGUUACCUACAUCUGUUAAGGAUGUGAGGAGGAAGACGCAGUGAACUGAAACAUCUAAGUAGCUGCAGGAAGAGAAAGCAAAAGCGAUUGCCUUAGUAGCGGCGAGCGAAACGGCAGAAGGGCAAACCGAAGAGUUUACUCUUCGGGGUUGUAGGACUGCAAUGUGGACUCAAAGAUUAUAGAAGAAUGAUUUGGGAAGAUCAGCCAAAGAGAGUAAUAGCCUCGUAUUUAAAAUAGUCUUUGUACUUAGCAGUAUCCUGAGUACGGCGGGACACGUGAAAUCCCGUCGGAAUCUGGGAGGACCAUCUCCCAACCCUAAAUACUCCCUAGUGACCGAUAGUGAACCAGUACCGUGAGGGAAAGGUGAAAAGCACCCCGGGAGGGGAGUGAAAUAGAACCUGAAACCGUGUGCCUACAACAAGCUCGAGCCCGUUAAUGGGUGAGAGCGUGCCUUUUGUAGAAUGAACCGGCGAGUUACGUUAUGAUGCGAGGUUAAGUUGAAGAGACGGAGCCGUAGGGAAACCGAGUCUGAAUAGGGCGCCUUAGUAUCAUGACGUAGACCCGAAACCAUGUGACCUACCCAUGAGCAGGUUGAAGGUGCGGUAAGACGCACUGGAGGACCGAACCAGGGCACGUUGAAAAGUGCUUGGAUGACUUGUGGGUAGCGGAGAAAUUCCAAACGAACUUGGAGAUAGCUGGUUCUCUCCGAAAUAGCUUUAGGGCUAGCGUCGACAUUAGAGAUUCUUGGAGGUAGAGCACUGUUUGGGUGAGGGGUCCAUCCCGGAUUACCAAUCUCAGAUAAACUCCGAAUGCCAAUGAAUUAUGGUCGGCAGUCAGACUGCGAGUGCUAAGAUCCGUAGUCGAAAGGGAAACAGCCCAGACCACCAGCUAAGGUCCCAAAAUAAUUGUUAAGUGGAAAAGGAUGUGGGGUUGCACAGACAACUAGGAUGUUAGCUUAGAAGCAGCUAUUCAUUCAAAGAGUGCGUAAUAGCUCACUAGUCGAGUGACCCUGCGCCGAAAAUGUACCGGGGCUAAAACAAUUUACCGAAGCUGUGGAUACCUUUAUAGGUAUGGUAGGAGAGCGUUCUAUGUGUGAUGAAGGUAUACCGUGAGGAGUGCUGGAACGCAUAGAAGUGAGAAUGCCGGUAUGAGUAGCGAAAGACAGGUGAGAAUCCUGUCCACCGUAAGACUAAGGUUUCCAGGGGAAGGCUCGUCCGCCCUGGGUUAGUCGGGACCUAAGGAGAGACCGAAAGGUGUAUCCGAUGGACAACAGGUUGAUAUUCCUGUACUAGAGUAUGUAGUGAUGGAGGGACGCAGUAGGCUAACUAAAGCAGACGAUUGGAAGAGUCUGUCUAAGCAGUGAGGUGUGAAUUGAGUCAAAUGCUUAAUUCUAUAACAUUGAGCUGUGAUGGGGAGCGAAGUUUAGUAGCGAAGUUAGUGACGUCACACUGCCAAGAAAAGCUUCUAGCGUUUAAACAUACUCUACCCGUACCGCAAACCGACACAGGUAGUCGAGGCGAGUAGCCUCAGGUGAGCGAGAGAACUCUCGUUAAGGAACUCGGCAAAAUGACCCCGUAACUUCGGGAGAAGGGGUGCUGACUUAAAGUCAGCCGCAGUGAAUAGGCCCAAGCAACUGUUUAUCAAAAACACAGCUCUCUGCUAAAUCGUAAGAUGAUGUAUAGGGGGUGACGCCUGCCCGGUGCUGGAAGGUUAAGAGGAGUGCUUAGCGUAAGCGAAGGUAUGAAUUGAAGCCCCAGUAAACGGCGGCCGUAACUAUAACGGUCCUAAGGUAGCGAAAUUCCUUGUCGGGUAAGUUCCGACCCGCACGAAAGGCGUAAUGAUUUGGGCACUGUCUCAACGAGAGACUCGGUGAAAUUUUAGUACCUGUGAAGAUGCAGGUUACCCGCGACAGGACGGAAAGACCCCAUGGAGCUUUACUGCAGUUUGAUAUUGAGUGUCUGUACCACAUGUACAGGAUAGGUAGGAGUCUAAGAGAUCGGGACGCCAGUUUCGAAGGAGACGCUGUUGGGAUACUACCCUUGUGUUAUGGCCACUCUAACCCAGAUAGGUGAUCCCUAUCGGAGACAGUGUCUGACGGGCAGUUUGACUGGGGCGGUCGCCUCCUAAAAGGUAACGGAGGCGCCCAAAGGUUCCCUCAGAAUGGUUGGAAAUCAUUCGCAGAGUGUAAAGGUAUAAGGGAGCUUGACUGCGAGAGCUACAACUCGAGCAGGGACGAAAGUCGGGCUUAGUGAUCCGGUGGUUCCGUAUGGAAGGGCCAUCGCUCAACGGAUAAAAGCUACCCUGGGGAUAACAGGCUUAUCUCCCCCAAGAGUUCACAUCGACGGGGAGGUUUGGCACCUCGAUGUCGGCUCGUCGCAUCCUGGGGCUGUAGUCGGUCCCAAGGGUUGGGCUGUUCGCCCAUUAAAGCGGCACGCGAGCUGGGUUCAGAACGUCGUGAGACAGUUCGGUCCCUAUCCGUCGCGGGCGUAGGAAAUUUGAGAGGAUCUGCUCCUAGUACGAGAGGACCAGAGUGGACUUACCGCUGGUGUACCAGUUGUCUUGCCAAAGGCAUCGCUGGGUAGCUAUGUAGGGAAGGGAUAAACGCUGAAAGCAUCUAAGUGUGAAACCCACCUCAAGAUGAGAUUUCCCAUGAUUAUAUAUCAGUAAGAGCCCUGAGAGAUGAUCAGGUAGAUAGGUUAGAAGUGGAAGUGUGGCGACACAUGUAGCGGACUAAUACUAAUAGCUCGAGGACUUAUCCA
rnacentral:rRNA from 1 species